AGAAUCAACGCUGGCGGCGUGCCUAACACAUGCAAGUCGAACGAGAAAGUGGAGCAAUCCAUGAGUAAAGUGGCGCACGGGUGAGUAACACGUGACUAACCUACCCUUGAGUGGGGGAUAACCUAGAGAAAUCUGGGCUAAUACCGCAUAAUACCUUCGGGUCAAAGGAGCAAUUCGCUUAAGGAGGGGGUCGCGGCCGAUUAGUUAGUUGGCGGGGUAAGUGGCCCACCAAGACGAUGAUCGGUA
rnacentral:rRNA from 1 species